UUUCAGCUACAAGGAGAAGAAACUCUGAACCAAAGUGGCCUGCGCAAUAAAGAAGUUUCUUCUCUCGGUAACUCAUGGAGAGCUGGUGGUUUCAGUGGCUCAACCAUAUUAUCAGGUGCCUGGGUUCUUGUUUUGGCUCUGCUGUCCACAGUAUCAAUUUCCUUUUAAGCCUGAGUCUUUUUAUGGUUAUAAGAAGUCUCAAAAAAAAUUAGAUGUUUAUUUUUCUCUCACUUAAAGAGUUGCAACUUGGAUUUCUUGUCUUCUUGGUCAUGUCCAGCAGGAGAGGGAAAGAGGAGUAUGCUAGGACUGAGUCCUUCCCUUCGGGCUAAUUGGUGCACUGUGGCAGAAAGACUGCUAGUUUUGCAUCAAGAUCCAUGAUCCUAAGUUUUCAGUGGGGCACAGAGCCACCUGGAACAAAGAUUACAUUUCCCAGCUUUCCUAAGAACCAGGUGUGCCCUUUUGACUGUUUUGGCAAUAGAGGUAAGUGGAAGUGAUUUCUGGGCUAUAUUCUCACAAGGAAGGGGUGUACCCUUCCCUGUCCCUUCGUGCUUCCUGCUGCUGCAAUGUGAAUAUGAUCUGAAGAUCUACAGCCACAUGUGAAGGUAACAAGGCAAUAUGGACCCUGAGUGCUUGACAGCUAUAACACCAUCCCGGCCCCCGGCUGUCUCCUUCCUCACUUCUUUUAAAUGAGGGACAGAAAUGAAUUUCUGUUUCAUUCAAACCACUAAUUAGGAGAGUUUUCUGCCAUGUGAAGCUCCAAACUAAUAUAUUUUCCUUAAGUCAUUGCCCAGGCAAGGCUGGGUACAGUGGAUCACACCUGUAAUCUCAGUGCUUUCCGAGGCUGAAGCAGGAGGAUCGCUUGAGCCCAUGAGUUUGAGGCUGCGGUGAGCUAUGAUGGCACCUCUGUACACCAACCUGAGCAACAGAGCAAGACCCUAUCUCUGAAAACUAAGGUUGUUGGCAGACAGAGGAAUGCCACGGCUGACCGACUUCUUCCUGAAACGAGUAGCAGGCCAUCUCUCUUAAGUAUGUAAAAUAAGAAAAUUUGUUGUUCUCUUUUUCUUAUCUGGGGAGUGUCUGGCCACUCAUGAAGGAGAUGUUUCCAGCUGCUUUCAUCCCUUUGUUCCAAGGCAUGGAUUCUAAUCUCUAUAACCAGUAACAUUCACUGGCAAAGUAUACACUGUCAGGCCUCUGAGCCCAAGUUAAGCUAUCACAUCCCCUGUGACCUGCACGUACACAUCCAGAUGGCCGGUUCCUGCCUUAACUGAUGAUAUUACCUUGUGAAAUUCCUUCUCCUGGCUCAUCGUGGCUUAAAAGCUCCCCCGCUGAGCACCUUGUGACCCCCCCGACCCCUGCCCGCCAGAGAACAACCCCCGUUUUUCCUUUAUCUACCCAAAUCUUAUAAAGCAGCCCCACCCCUAUCUCCCUUCACUCUUUUCGGACUCAGCCCGCCUGCACCCAGGUGAAAUAAACAGCCUUGUUGCUCACACAAAGCCUGUUUGGUGGUCUCUUCACAUGGACGCACGUGAAAUUUGGUGCCAUGACUCAGAUCGGGGGACCUCCCUUGGGAGAUCAAUCCCCUGUCCUCCUGCUCUUUGCUGCAUGAGAAAGAUCCACCUACGACCUCAGGUCCUCAGACCGACCAGCCCAAAGAACAUCUCACCAAUUUUAAAUCCGGAGCCCCCCACGGCCUCUGCUUCUAGUUGGCCAUCUUGGCCCCGCCUCCUCAGCAUAUAUCAGAUUUUUAUUUUUUAUUUAUUUAUUUAUUUUUGAGACGGAGUCUUGCUCUGUCACCCAGGCUACAGUGCAGUGACACUGUCUCGACUCACUGCAACCUCUGCCUCCCGGGUUCAAGCGAUUCUUCUGACUCAGCCUCCCGGGUAGCUGGGAUUACAGGCACCCACCACUGUGCCUGGCUAAUUUUUGUAUUUUUAGUAGAGAUGGCAUUUCACCAUCUUGGCCAGGCUGGUCUCGAACUCCUGACCUCGUGAUCCACCCACCUCGGCCUCCCAAAGUGCUGGGAUUACAGGCAUGAGCCACUGCCCCCAGCCCAGAUUUUUAUUUUUAUUUUUUUAUUUAUUUAUUAUUGAGAUGGAGUCUCGCUCUUUCACCAGGCUGGAGUGCAGUGGCACGAUCUCGACUCACUGCAACCUCUGCCUUCUGGAUUCAAGUGAUUAUUCUGCCUCAAACUCCGGAGUAGCUCCAACUACAGGUAAGCACCACCAUGCCCAGCUAAUUUUUGUAUUUUCUUUUUUUAGUAAAGAAGGGGUUUCACCAUGUUGGCCAGAAAGGUCUCAAUCUCUUGACCUCAUGAUCCACCCG
rnacentral:lncRNA from 1 species